GUUUUUUGGCAGCACAUAUAGUAAAAUUGGAACGAUACAGAGAAGAUUAGCAUGGCCCCUGUGAAAGGAUGACAUGCAACAAAUAACAAAGCACCAAAAAACA